AGAACGAACGCUGGCGGCACGCCUAACACAUGCAAGUCGAGCGCCCAGCAAUGGGAGCGGCGGACGGGUGAGUAACACGUGGGAAUAUGCCUUUCGGUACGGAACAACUCAGGGAAACUUGAGCUAAUGCCGUAUACGCCCUUACGGGGAAGAUUUAUCGCCGAAAGAUUAGCCCGCGUCUGAUCAGCUAGUUGGUGAGGUAAUGGCUCACCAAGGCUUCGAUCAGUAGCUGGUUUGAGAGAACGACCAGCCACACUGGGACUGAGACACGGCCCAGACUCCUACGGGAGGCAGCAGUGGGGAAUCUUGGACAAUGGGGGAAACCCUGAUCCAGCGAUGCCGCGUGAGUGAUGAAGGCCUUCGGGUUGUAAAACUCUUUCGACGGGGACGAUAAUGACGGUACCCGUAGAAGAAGCUCCGGCUAACUUCGUGCCAGCAGCCGC
rnacentral:rRNA from 1 species